GACGAACCGUGCGAACGUUGUUCGGAAUCACUGGGCUUAAAGGGCGCGUAGGCGGUCUGCCAAGUCAGGGGUGAAAGCCUCCAGCUUAACUGGAGAAGUGCCUUUGAUACUGGCGGACUCGAGUGAAGUAGGGGUUGUGGGAACUUCCGGUGGAGCGGUGAAAUGCGUUGAUAUCGGAAGGAACGCCGGUGGCGAAAGCGCACAACUGGACCUCUUCUGACGCUGAGGCGCGAAAGCCAGGGGAGCAAACGGG
rnacentral:rRNA from 1 species